CCUACGGGUGGCAGCAGUGGGGGAUAUUGGACAAUGGGGGAGACCCUGAUCCAGCGAAGCCGCGUGAGUGAGUACGUCUCUAUGGGUGGAAAGCCCUGUCAGCAGGGGAGAAAGACCUGGCGGUGCCUGGCCACGAAACCACGCCUAACAACGGGCCCGCAGCACCGGUAAUACGUAGGGGGCAAGCGUUAUCCGGAUUUACUGGGUGUAAAGGGAGCGUAGACGGUUAGGUAAGUCUGGAGUGAAAGGGUGGGGCUCAACCCCGGUAUUGCUCUGGAGACUAGUGACCUUGAGUGCAGGUGAGGUAAGCGGAAUUCGUGGUGUAGCGGUGAAAUGCGUAGAUAUCAGGAAGAACACCAGUGGCGAAGGCAGCUUACUAAACUGCAACUGACGUUGAUGCUCGAAAGCGUGGGUAGCAAACAGGAUUAGAUACCCCAGUAGUC
rnacentral:rRNA from 1 species